rnacentral:rRNA from 1 species
GUGAGGAAUAUUGGUCAAUGGGCGAGAGCCUGAACCAGCCAAGUCGCGUGAAGGAAGAAGGAUCUAUGGUUCGUAAACUUCUUUUGCAGGGGAAUAAAGUGCAGGACGUGUCCUGUUUUGUAUGUACCCUGAGAAUAAGGAUCGGCUAACUCCGUGCCAGCAGCCGCGGUAAUACGGAGGAUCCGAGCGUUAUCCGGAUUUAUUGGGUUUAAAGGGUGCGUAGGUGGUUUGAUAAGUCAGCGGUGAAAGUUUGCAGCUUAACUGUAAAAAUACCGUUGAAACUGUCGGACUUGAGUGUAAAUGAGGUAGGCGGAAUGCGUGGUGUAGCGGUGAAAUGCAUAGAUAUCACGCAGAACUCCGAUUGCGAAGGCAGCUUACUAAGCUACAACUGACACUGAAGCACGAAAGCGUGGGGAUCAAACAGGAUUAGAUACCCUAGUAGUCC